GACUCUGUAGCGCAAUGGUAGCGCGUCUGACUCCAGAUCAGAAGGUUGCGUGUUCGAAUCACGUCAGGGUCA
rnacentral:tRNA from 1 species